UACAGAGACCUCAAGCGUUAUCCGGAUUUAUUGGGCGUAAAGCGUCCGCAGGUUUCUUGGUAAGUCUAAUGUUAAAACUCAGCGCUCAACGUUGAGACUGCGUUGGAUACUGCCGAGAUAGAGAGUGGGAGAGGUAAACGGAAUUGCAAGUGUAGUCGUAAUAAGCGUUGAUAUUUGCAAGAACACCAAAUGCGAAGGCAGUUUACUGGAACACAUCUGACACUCAUGGACGAAAGCGUGGGGAGCAAACAGG
rnacentral:rRNA from 1 species